rnacentral:tRNA from 1 species
GAGGGUGUAGCUCAGUGGUAGAGUGCGUGCUUAGCAUGCACGAGGUCCUGGGUUCAAUCCCCAGUACCUCCU